GGGGAUAUAGCUCAGUUGGUAAAGUGCUUGCCUCGCAAUCAUAAGGCCCUGGGUUCAAUCCCCAGCACUACCA
rnacentral:tRNA from 1 species